rnacentral:rRNA from 1 species
UACGUAGGGUGCAAGCGUUAUCCGGAAUUAUUGGGCGUAAAGAGCUCGUAGGCGGUUUGUCGCGUCUGCCGUGAAAGUCCGGGGCUCAACUCCGGAUCUGCGGUGGGUACGGGCAGACUAGAGUGUGGUAGGGGAGACUGGAAUUCCUGGUGUAGCGGUGAAAUGCGCAGAUAUCAGGAGGAACACCGGUGGCGAAGGCGGGUCUCUGGGCCAUAACUGACGCUGAGGAGCGAAAGCGUGGGGAGCGAACAGG